CAAAUGAAAUCCACACUGCGAGCCUAGAGCCUACGUACAAAGGUCAAAUGACAGCUAUGCAUGGGGUGGCCAGGAAGUCCUGGGAUUUCAAGACCACUUUGCCUGCGGGUUUGAUUGAAGGUGACAGGAAUCUUUGUGAAAGGAAAGGCCUGCAGCCCUGGGCUCCGGGGUGCAGAGGACUGGAGUUUCAGGGCCGCAUUUUUACUGUCAGUUCUGCAAGAAGAGCCGCAGUGUCAUCAUCAUCACUCUCCUCUUCAAAAUCUUCAUCCUCGCCUUCCUCAUCUGUUAGAGGAUCAUCUGCAUCAAGGUUGGCAGCAGGAAUCUGGUCUAACCGAGGCUUCUUUGACACCGACGAGGAGGUUGUAUGUUCCCUUGUUGGACGGUCUCUAUUUUUUUCUCUUGCAGCAGCUCGUUCUCUCUCUUCCAGCUCCCUCCUGAAGUGACGGUUGCGAACCUCUUCAGGGGCAUCCUGAGUAGUUGGUCUAUAUUUUAUCUUUGUAUGAGAAGGUUGGUCUCUACUUCAAUACUGCUGUGAGAGUUGGCUCAAAUCACCUCCUCCUUUUCCUCUCGCAGGUUCAAAAGUUGGCCUAGCUGCUGUUGUCAUCUUUUAUGCUCCCAGAAGCCUCCGCGCCCAGGACCCGACUUUUUUUAUUUUUAUUUUUUUAUUUAUUUAUGAUAGUCAGAGAGAGAGAGAGAGGAGAGAGAGAGAGAGGCAGAGACACAGGCAGAGGGAGAAGCAGGCUCCAUGCACCGGGAGCCCGACGUGGGAUUCGAUCCCGGGUCUCCAGGAUCACGCCCUGGGCCAAAGGCAGGAGCCAAACCGCUGCGCCACCCGGGGAUCCCCCCGACUUUACUUUUAAUUGAAGGUUUGUGACACCCUUGUCUCAAGCAAGUCGGUCGGCACCGUUUGUCCAACAGCAUUUGCUCACUUUGUGUCUCUGUAUCACAUUUUGAUAAUUCUUGUGACAUUUCAGACUUUUUCAUUAUUAUUACAUUCGUUACGGUGAUCUGUGAUCAGUGAUUAUGACUCGUUGAAGGCUCAGAUGGUGGUUAGCAUUUUUUAGCAAUGAAGUGUUUCUAAAUCCAGGUUUUGGCUUUGCUUUUUUUUUUUUUUUAAGAGAUAAUGCUCUUGCAAACGUAACGGAGUGCAGCAUCGUGUAAACAUAACUUUUAUAUGCACUGGGAAAUCAAACAAAUAAUUUGGCUUGCUUUAUUGCGGCGCUGCAUGGUGGCAGUGGUCUGGAACUGAACCUGCAAUAUCGUCGAGCUGGGCCCAUCCUGAGAGCACUUGGCUGCUGAGUAGAUGAGAACCUUGAUUCAUGAAGUCUCGGUGUCACAGGCAGGCACAGGCCACGGGGUGCACCACGGGGGACUACUUGCAUGUUAGAAAAGGCACAUCGGCUGCUGCUCGGGGACAGUAUAUGCAAGAACGCUCGGCUCGUU
rnacentral:lncRNA from 12 species